rnacentral:rRNA from 1 species
UUAGGAAUUUUGCGCAAUGGGGGAAACCCUGACGCAGCCACGCCGCGUGCGGGAUGAAGGCCUUCGGGUCGUAAACCGCUUUUAUCAGGGAAGACACCCGACGGUACCUGAUGAAUAAGCAACGGCUAACUACGUGCCAGCAGCCGCGGUAAUACGUAGGUUGCGAGCGUUGUCCGGAUUUACUGGGCGUAAAGCGCGCGCAGGCGGUCCUGCAAGUCCACGGUGAAAGCUCCCGGCCCAACUGGGAGAGGCCCGUGGAAACUGCAGGACUUGAAGGCGGGAGAGGCAAAUGGAAUUUCCGGUGUAGCGGUAAAAUGCGUAGAUACCGGAAGGAACACCAGUGGCGAAAGCGAUUUGCUGGCCCGCCCUUGACGCUCAGGCGCGAAAGCUAGGGGAGCGACCGGGAUUAGAUACCCCGGUAGUCC